AUAAAGCUCCAGCCUGGCAAAAAGGGUUUUAAUUGGUUUUAUUUAAUGCGAGGGUAUAAACAGUCUAGAUUCCGUUGGAUGAUCCUGAAAAUAGAGUUGACGGCAAAAAUUGAAACAAGACUUGAUGACUGGACAUAUAGGUAUGGUGGAUUGCUCAAGGAUCCCCUUUUGUGAUAGGAAAAUUUUGUGGUUGGUGUAUUGGAUGUCAAGGAUAUCUCCUGGAUAUUUUCUAGCUGGUUGAAUUGGUCAUAUUAGAUCUACAUA